rnacentral:lncRNA from 1 species
GCCCAGCCCGUCGACGUACAGUUCGAGUGGACGUUUGCUACCAACGUUUCAAAGCAAGAGCUGGUGUCGGAAGAGUGGGUUCGGUCAUCAGAACAGCAAUCACGACUCAGGUACCGGCCUGAGAAGCUUUAUGACUACGGAAUUAUUCGCUGCUUUGCCAUCAAUGCUAUCGGCAAACAGAAACAACCGUGCGAAUAUUCCGUCGAGCCUGCCCCAGCUCCUGUUCCACCAACGUUGAACUGCUCAGUUACGAACCAGUCCUGGCAGAGCCUCAACG